rnacentral:rRNA from 1 species
AUUGAACGCUGGCGGCAGGCUUAACACAUGCAAGUCGAGCGAGCGGCGGACGGGUGAGUAAUGUCUGGGAAACUGCCUGAUGGAGGGGGAUAACUACUGGAAACGGUAGCUAAUACCGCAUCCCAUCAGAUGUGCCCAGAUGGGAUUGGCUAGUAGGUGGGGUAAUGGCUCACCUAGGCCACGAUCCCUAGCGGGUCGGAGAGGAUGACAAGCCACACUGGAACUGAGACACGGUCCAGACGCCUACGGGAGGCAGCAGUGGGGAAUAUGGCACAAUGGGCGCAAGCCUUAUGCAGCCAUGCCGCGUGUGUGAAGAAGGCCUUCGGGUUGUAAAGCACUUUCAGCGAGGAGGCGUUACUCACAGAAGAAGCACCGGCUAACUCCGUGCCAGCCGCCGCGGUAAUUC